rnacentral:rRNA from 1 species
AUUGAACGCUGGCGGCAGGCCUAACACAUGCAAGUCGAGCGGGGUUUUCGGGCCUAGCGGCGGACGGGUGAGUAAUGCGUAGGAAGCUACCCGAUAGAGGGGGAUACCAGUUGGAAACGACUGUUAAUACCGCAUAAUGUCUACGGACCAAAGUGUGGGACCUUCGGGCCACAUGCUAUCGGAUGCGCCUACGUGGGAUUAGCUAGUUGGUGAGGUAAUGGCUCACCAAGGCGACGAUCCCUGGCUGGUUUGAGAGGAUGCUCAGUCACACUGGAACUGAGACACGGUCCAGACUCCUACGGGAGGCAGCAGUGGGGAAUAUUGGACAAUGGGCGCAAGCCUGAUCCAGCCAUGCCGCGUGUGUGAAGAAGGCCUUCGGGUUGUAAAGCACUUUCAGCGAGGAGGAAGGGGUGAGUGUUAAUAGUACUCAUCUUUGACGUUACUCGCAGAAGAAGCACCGGCUAACUCUGUGCCAGCCGCCGCCGUAAGAC